rnacentral:rRNA from 1 species
GUAGGUGGCAAGCGUUGUCCGGAAUUAUUGGGCGUAAAGCGCGCGCAGGCGGUUCUUUAAGUCUGAUGUGAAAGCCCACGGCUCAACCGUGGAGGGUCAUUGGAAACUGGAGAACUUGAGUACAGAAGAGGAAAGCGGAAUUCCACGUGUAGCGGUGAAAUGCGUAGAGAUGUGGAGGAACACCAGUGGCGAAGGCGGCUUUCUGGCCUGUAACUGACGCUGAGGCGCGAAAGCGUGGGGAGCAAACAGGGAUUAGAUACCCUGGUAGUCCACGCCGUAAACGAUGAGUGCUAAGUGUUAGGGGGUUUCCGCCCCCUUAGUGCUGCAGCUAACGCAUUAAGCACUCCGCCUGGGGAGUACGGCCGCAAGGCUG